GUCUAUGGCCAUACCACCCUGAACACGUUGGAUCUCAUCUGACCUUGGAAGCUAAGCAGGGUCUGGCCUGGUAAGUACUUGGAUGGGAGAAAGGAAGGAACCUCUAUAGGAACCUUGGCAACUUCAGGAU
rnacentral:rRNA from 1 species